GUAGCCGAAGGGGCGACUAAGGUCGCGACAUCCUGUGGCAACACCUCCAUGACCAGCAUCGUGUUGG
rnacentral:sRNA from 1 species